rnacentral:rRNA from 1 species
CAAUAGCGUAUAUUAAAGUUGUUGCAGUUAAAAAGCUCGUAGUUGGAUUUCUGGAUGGAGCGACCGGUCGGGCAUUAAUUUGUCUGCACUGGAGUCGGUUCCGUCCAUCCUCUUGGAAAGUGCGUGGGGCAUUAAGUUGUCUGGCGUAUGAUCCAAGUCGUUUACUGUGAAAAAAUUAGAGUGUUUAAAGCAGGCCUUCGCCUUGAAUACAUUAGCAUGGAAUAAUAAGAUAGGACUUUGGUCUAUUUUGUUGGUUUGCAGACCGAAGUAAUGAUUAAUAGGGAUAGUUGGGGGUAUUUAUAUUCCGAUGUCAGAGGUGAAAUUCUUAGAUUUUCGGAAGAUAAACUUAUGCGAAAGCAUUUACCAAGGAUGUUUNCAUUA